CCCUUAGAUGUUCUGGGCUCCACGCGCGCUACACUGGUGCGUUCAGCGAGUUUAGCACCUUAACAGAUAUGUUUGGGUAAUCUUCUGAAAACGCACCGUGAUGGGGAUCGAUUAUUGUAAUUAUUAAUCGUCAACGAGGAAUUCCUAGUAAGUGUGAAUCAUCAGUUCGCGCUGAUUACGUCCCUGCCCUUUGUACACACCGCCCGUCGCUGCUACCGAUUGAGUGGUCCGGUGAAUUAUUCGGACCGGUGGACUGUGGGGAAACCCGCGGCCUGCUGGGAAGUCUUGUGAACCUUAUCACUUAGAGGAAGCAGAAGUCGUAACA
rnacentral:rRNA from 1 species